UACGAAGGUGGCAAGCGUUGUUCGGAUUUACUGGGCGUAAAGGGUGCGUAGGUGGUUAGGUCAGCCCUCCGGGAAAUCUUCAGGCUUAACCUGAAAAGGUCGGGGGGGACUGCCUAGCUAGAGGGCGGGAGAGGAGCGCGGAAUUCCCGGUGUAGCGGUGAAAUGCGUAGAGAUCGGGAGGAAGGCCGGUGGCGAAGGCGGCGCUCUGGAACGUUUCUGACACUGAGGCUCGAAAGCGUGGGGAGCAAACAGG
rnacentral:rRNA from 1 species